rnacentral:rRNA from 1 species
CGGGUGAGUAACACGUGGACAAUCUGCCUGUGAAUCCGGGAUAAUCCUUCGAAAGGGGGCCUAAUACCGGAUAACACCUCCUGGUGGCAUCUCCGGGCGGUCAAAGGCGGGGCAACCUGCCGUUUACAGAUGAGUCCGCGCUCCAUUAGCCAGUUGGCGGGGUAACGGCCCACCAAAGCUACGAUGGAUAGCCGGCCUGAGAGGGUGAUCGGCCACACUGGGACUGAGAUACGGCCCAGACUCCUACGGGAGGCAGCAGUAGGGAAUAUUGCGCAAUGGACGAAAGUCUGACGCAGCAACGCCGCGUGGGUGAUGAAGCAUUUCGGUGUGUAAAACCCUGUCAGUGGGGAAGAACCGUGCGAGGAGUCACUGCCUUGCACCUGACGGUACCCACAGAGGAAGUCCCGGCUAACUCCGUGCCAGCAGCCGCGGUAAUACGGGGGGGACAAGCGUUGUUCGGAUUUACUGGGCGUAAAGGGCGCGUAGGCGGACCGACAAGUCGGGUGUGAAACCUGCCAGCUUAACUGGCAGCCUGCAUUUGAUACUGUCGGCCUUGAGUACAGGAGAGGAGAAUGGAAUUCCAGGUGUAGCGGUGAAAUGCGUAGAUAUCUGGAAGAACACCGGUAGCGAAGGCGGUUCUCUGGACUGAUACUGACGCUUAAGCGCGAAGGCUUGGGGAGCAAACAGGAUUAGAUACCCUGGUAGUCCAAGCGGUAAACGAUGGGUACUAGGUGUCGGGGGUAUCGACCCCCUCGGUGCCGCAGCUAACGCCAUUAA